UGGGGAAUAUUGCACAAUGGGCGCAAGCCUGAUGCAGCGACGCCGCGUGAGGGAUGGAGGCCUUCGGGUUGUAAACCUCUUUCGCCAGUGAAGCAGGCCAUCUUCUUUGUGGGGUGGUUGACGGUAGCUGGAUAAGAAGCGCCGGCUAACUACGUGCCAGCAGCCGCGGUAAUACGUAGGGCGCGAGCGUUGUCCGGAAUUAUUGGGCGUAAAGAGCUCGUAGGCGGCUGGUCGCGUCUGUCGUGAAAUCCCCUGGCUUAACUGGGGGCUUGCGGUGGGUACGGGCCGGCUUGAGUGCGGUAGGGGAGACUGGAAUUCCUGGUGUUGCGGUGGAAUGCGCAGAUAUCAGGAGGAACCCCGGUGGCGAAGGCGGGUCUCUGGGCCGUUACUGACGCUGAGGAGCGAAAGCGUGGGGAGCGAACAGG
rnacentral:rRNA from 1 species